UAUAAGGUUAUUUUGGUCAACUUGUGUUCAUGCAAUGAAAGCUACCUAUAAUAAUUUUUUAAUCAUUGACUUCUGCAACAAACUUAGACUUAAAAGAGUUAAAGUAACUGGAGAUAAAGAAGUAUGUGCAGAAUUUAAUUUCACAACUAAAGAGGACUCCGAAGAAGAAUAUAAUAAAGUUCUAGUGGAUCAAAGAUCGAGGAAUGAUUUGGUUUUGACUGGUUUGCAUCUUAUGAACGAAGUACAUAAUAUGAUUUAAAUUAAUGAUUUAUAGUUACACCUAUUCAAAUUCUGUAUCUCAAUGAUAUCCUGGCUUAUUGAUACGAUAUACUGUAAAUCCACUCACACACAUAAAUUUUACUCACACACGUAAAUCCUGUAAAUUCACUCACACACAUAAAUCUUAAAAAAGAUGUUUAUAUUUUUAUCUAUAAA